CGGGGUGCCUCUCUGGGCUUUGGUGGGAAUAGGGCUGGAGGAGUGGGAGGGGGUCUCCCCGAGUUCCAUGGAUGGGGAGGUGUCACGGUGGUUCAAGGUCUUGACAUGUCAACCAAUGAGUGGAGGCAAGCCCUUCCAUUGAGCAUAGAUGGCGUUGGGGCCCCAAAGGGUAGCCCCGGCUUGGUGGCGAUUGGGGUCCCCUCCCCUCCCUCUUGGCUCCUCCUGGCCCAAGAGAGAGGACCUCAUUCAAGGUUGCUCAGGAAGGGGGCCAGGUGUGGGAGAUUCCUGGAGGGAAUUCUAGUCCCGUGCCCCCGCUUCCGUGCAGCCGCUUGCCCUUGGGCUGCAAGGGGGGUGGAAGGGCUCCGACUAAAUCCUGAACCUUGUAUUCUAGCCCCACACUGACCUCUGCCCCCUGCACUGGACCAGAGCCCCCAGCCCUCCACUGACUUGCCUAUUCAGCCCUGCCAGGCCUAGCCAGGCCCAGCGGCCUCCCGAAUUCCUUGAAGGUGCAGCUGGCUCUCUGUCACCCGCCUCCUUCCGACCCCCGGCCCUCGCCAGCUGCCCGCUCAUGAUGAUGAGUGCUGUGUGAGGGUGCCAACCGCUGCCCCCCUGGCGCCCCCCCUACCCCUGUGCCAUGGCCGGCUGGGGUUCCUGGGGAUGGGAUUUGCUGCCUGUCACAAAUCACAUUGCCAGGGAUUUCCAACCGACCCUGAGCCCUGCCUCUGGGGCUGCCGCCACCGCCUUCACUGCUGAGGACACUGCCCGGGGACGGGCACGGGGAUGGGCAGCCAAGAGGCCCCUGCCGCCUGCGCCUGGCCUGGGGAGCAGGGCUUAGCUGCUGUGAGCAGUGCACACCCAGGCGUGUUCACAGUGGCUAAGUUCCGCCCCCCGGGACCCCGCCUCCUCUGGCCCCGCUGCGCCUGCGCCUGUCCGUCUGUCCGCACUGUGCGGGCCUCCCUGGGCUCUGCCUCCCGUGCCUACUGAGCUGAAACACAGUUCAUUUGUGCAGACUGGCUCAGUUCAGCAGGAACAGGAGUCGAGUCCCCUCGGAGCCAGUGCGGGCUGAUGCCUGGGGGUAAAACUGAGGACUGAGACCCAGACCCCGGACCCAUGUCAGGAGGAGGGACUCUGGGGAGGGGGAAAUGUAGCCUGGAAUGGGGUGGGUGGACCUAGCCAUCUGCUUUAGGCCCCCUCCCCCAACUCUGUGCUUGGGGAUCCCGCCCCCUGCACAGUCCUCCUUCUGGCUGGGGCUGGAACAGACUCCUAGGGAGAAUGGGCAGGUGGGUAGGCCGCCCCCCCCCCCCCCGUUAAAAAGGGAAGCCAUUUGGGACCCCAUCCCUCCAGUGUCCCUCCCAGCCUGGAGCCUUGGCCUUUUCUCUCCCAGGCCUGUACCUUCCCAGCAGUCAGUUACCCAAGAGGAAGCCGCCCUGGGCCCCCUGACCGUUAAAUGCCAACUCCGGCUUCCGGAACCAGGCUGGCCUGACUGUGCCUGGCCUCUUCUCUCUGAGUCCUAACUUGGGGGGGUGGGGGUGGGGAGAGCUGUGACACUCUCGGAGCACGUGGCACAGGGAGCAAGGUCCCUUUGGGCCUGGAAAGGACACAGUGGGCCUGUUCAGACCUGAGAGUCUGUCCAGUAUCAGAUGGGAUGGGCUUUUUUUGGAGUGAGAGCGGGUGAGCAGAGAGAAGCCUUUUAGGCCGUCGGGGCUGGCCCGGGGCACCCCUUCACACUGAGGUAGGGGCAGGCAUAAGCUUGGGGCAGGGUCUGUGCUGUGUAUUGCUAUUGUCUAAAUAAAAGCUGCCUCCUUAUUCCUGAA